CGCAGGCCUCUGGCGGAGCCCAUUCCAUGCCAGAUGCUGAGCGAUGGCUGGUGUGUGCUGCUCCACAGGCCUGGUG
ensembl:miRNA MIR4730 microRNA 4730